CCUACGGGAGGCAGCAGUGGGGAAUAUUGCACAAUGGGGGAAACCCUGAUGCAGCGACGCCGCGUGAGUGAAGAAGUAUUUCGGUAUGUAAAGCUCUAUCAGCAGGGAAGAAAAAAGACGGUACCUGACUAAGAAGCCCCGGCUAACUACGUGCCAGCAGCCGCGGUAAUACGUAGGGGGCAAGCGUUAUCCGGAUUUACUGGGUGUAAAGGGAGCGUAGACGGAGAAGCAAGUCUGAAGUGAAAGCCCGUGGCUUAACCACGGGACUGCUUUGGAAACUGUUUGACUAGAGUGCUGGAGAGGUAAGUGGAAUUCCUAGUGUAGCGGUGAAAUGCGUAGAUAUUAGGAGGAACACCAGUGGCGAAGGCGGCUUACUGGACAGUAACUGACGUUGAGGCUCGAAAGCGUGGGGAGCAAACAGGAUUAGAUACCCCUGUAGUC
rnacentral:rRNA from 1 species